GACGAACGCUGGCGGCGUGCUUAACACAUGCAAGUCGAGGGGGAGUAGGGGCAACUCUACUUCACCGGCGAACGGGUGCGUAACACGUGAGCGACCUACCCUGGUGUGGGGGAUAGCCGGCCCAAGUGGCCGGGUAAUACCGCAUACGCUCUUUGGAGGGGCAUCCCUUGGAGACCAAAGCCGGUGGGGCAACUCACGGCGCAUUGGGGAGGGGCUCGCGGCCUAUCAGCUAGUUGGCGAGGUAACGGCCACCAAGGCGACGACGGGUAGCUGGUCUGAGAGGAUGGCCAGCCACAUUGGGACUGAGAGACGGCCCAGACUCCUACGGGAGGCAGCAGGUGGGGAAUCUUGCGCAAUGGGCGAAAGCCUGACGCAGCGACGCCGCGU
rnacentral:rRNA from 1 species